AACGAACGCUGGCGGCAUGCCUAACACAUGCAAGUCGAACGAGACCUUCGGGUCUAGUGGCGCACGGGUGCGUAACGCGUGGGAACCUGCCUUUAGGUUCGGAAUAACUCAGAGAAAUUUGAGCUAAUACCGGAUGAUGUCUUCGGACCAAAGAUUUAUCGCCUUUAGAUGGGCCCGCGUUGGAUUAGCUAGUUGGUGGGGUAAAGGCCUACCAAGGCGACGAUCCAUAGCUGGUCUGAGAGGAUGAUCAGCCACACUGGGACUGAGACACGGACCAGACUCCUACGGGAGGCAGCAGUGGGGAAUAUUGGACAAUGGGCGAAAGCCUGAUCCAGCAAUGCCGCGUGAGUGAUGAAGGCCUUAGGGUUGUAAAGCUCUUUUACCCGAGAUGAUAAUGACAGUAUCGGGAGAAUAAGCUCCGGCUAACUCCGUG
rnacentral:rRNA from 1 species